rnacentral:rRNA from 1 species
UACGGGAGAUGCAAGCGUUAUCCGGAAUUAUUGGGCGUAAAGCGUCCGUAGGCGGUUUGUCGCGUCUGCUGUGAAAAUCCGAGGCUCAACCUCGGACCUGCAGUGGGUACGGGCAAACUAGAGUGCGGUAGGGGAGAUUGGAAUUCCUGGUGUAGCGGUGGAAUGCGCAGAUAUCAGGAGGAACACCAAUGGCGAAGGCAGAUCUCUGGGCCGUAACUGACGCUGAGGAGCGAAAGCGUGGGGAGCGAACAGGAUUAGAUACCCUGGUAGUCCACGCCGUAAACGGUGGGAACUAGAUGUGGGGUCCGUUCCACGGAUUCCGUGUCGCAGCUAACGCAUUAAGUUCCCCGCCUGGGGAGUACGGCCGCAAGGCUAAAACUCAAAGGAAUUGACGGGGGCCCGCACAAGCGGCGGAGCAUGCGGAUUAAUUCGAUGCAACGCGAAGAACCUUACCAAGGCUUGACAUAUAGAGGAAAAGUGUAGAAAUACACUCCCCGCAAGGUCUCUAUACAGGUGGUGCAUGGUUGUCGUCAGCUCGUGUCGUGAGAUGUUGGGUUAAGUCCCGCAACGAGCGCAACCCUCGUCCUAUGUUGCCAGCACGUUAAGGUGGGAACUCAUGGGAUACUGCCGGGGUCAACUCGGAGGAAGGUGGGGAUGACGUCAAAUCAUCAUGCCCCUUAUGUCUUGGGCUUCACGCAUGCUACAAUGGCCGGUACAGAGGGCAGCAAUACCGCAAGGUGGAGCGAAUCCCAAAAAGCCGGUCUCAGUUCGGAUUGAGGUCUGCAACUCGACCUCAUGAAGUUGGAGUCGCUAGUAAUCGUGGAUCAGCAACGCCACGGUGAAUACGUUCCCGGGCCU